GGAGGCGUACCCGGCCUGGUGGCCGGCGCGGUCUUCAAAACCGUUGAGCGGUGGACACCACCGCUGGCGGGUUCGAUUCCCGUCCGCCUCCGC
rnacentral:tRNA from 1 species